rfam:Schistosoma mattheei strain Denwood, Zambia genome assembly, scaffold: SMTD_scaffold0009469
AUCUAGCUGAUGAGUCCCAGAUAAGAUAAAAUGCGCGUUCUGGAU